rnacentral:rRNA from 1 species
UACGGAGGGGGCUAGCGUUAUUCGGAAUUACUGGGCGUAAAGCGCACGUAGGCGGCUUUGUAAGUCAGAGGUGAAAGCCUGGAGCUCAACUCCAGAACUGCCUUUGAGACUGCAUCGCUUGAAUCCAGGAGAGGUGAGUGGAAUUCCGAGUGUAGAGGUGAAAUUCGUAGAUAUUCGCAAGAACACCAGUGGCGAAGGCGGCUCACUGGCCCGAUACUGACGCUGAGGCACGAAAGCGUGGGGAGCAAACAGGG